AUGUGAGAGCAAAAGAAAACAAGGAAGUCUGCGACCAUGAAGCGAAUGCUUAGUCUCUGAUAUCACAGGCUUAAAGAAAAUGAUAAAGACCUAAAAAGAAAAGAAAUAUCCCAGCAUGCUGAAGGAAAGAAAAGUUCCCCAAUACCCUUCCUGCUUAUUUUUCCAAUAUAUUACACAGCUGGGUCCACCUUACCACGUCCUGUUUGAUUCCAGCGUUACCAACUUUUCUAUUGGAGCCAAAUAAGACAUACUGCAAUCAGUGAUGAACUGUCUAUAUGCCAAGUGUAUCCCUUGUGUAACUGUGUAAUGGCUGAAACUGAGAAAUUGGGGCGAAGUAUCAAGUGGCUUAAAGGAUUGCCAAGGAUCCAAAAUUUGAACGAUUACCAAAUUACCACGCACAGGAAGGAAUCUAUGCAGAUGACUGCUUAGCACAGAGAGUUACUCAGCAUAAGUGUUGUAGCCACGAACCUGGGACCUUAAAAGAAGAAUCCUAAGAUUCUUGGAGUUCCUAUCAUGUACAUUUCUAACCAUAGAUACAACAUGGGAACUGAUGUCAGAUGAUUAUGGAGCCCCUUGGUUCUAA
rnacentral:lncRNA from 1 species